rnacentral:rRNA from 1 species
AUAGCUUGUGUGUUAGUGGAACGGUCUGGAAAGUCCGGCGAUACAGGGUGAUAGCCCCGUACACGAAGCAACAUAAAGCACAUAUUAAGUAGGACGGGACACGUGUUAUCUUGUCUGAAGAUGGGGGGACCAUCCUCCAAGGCUAAAUACUCGUUGUCGACCGAUAGUGAACCAGUACCGUGAGGGAAAGGCGAAAAGAACCCCGGCGAGGGGAGUGAAAUAGAACCUGAAACCGGAUGCGUACAAGCAGUAGGAGCCCUUCGGGGUGACUGCGUACCUUUUGUAUAAUGGGUCAGCGACUUAAUGUCAGUAGCGAGCUUAACCGUAUAGGGGAGGCGUAGGGAAACCGAGUCUUAAUAGGGCGAAUUAGUUGCUGGCAUUAGACCCGAAACCCGGUGAUCUAUCCAUGGCCAGGUUGAAGAUGCCGUAACAGGCAUUGGAGGACCGAACCCACAAAUGUUGAAAAAUUUGGGGAUGAGCUGUGGAUAGGGGUGAAAGGC